rnacentral:misc_RNA from 1 species
CUGUCAUUUGAAGUUGGUUUGACAUUCUGCAUAGAAAUCUUCUUCUAAAGAAAGUAGUAUCUGGCUCUGUUAACGGCUGUUUGGGAAACUGUGAUUCGACUAUAAUAUGUACAAGAAGCUUUUGUUUAAUUAAGAGUUCACUAUCCUUUUGGUCAGUGAAAUUUAUUUAUGUUUAUUGACAAAAUAUUGUGAACAUUUUGAUGGCUUCAAG